rnacentral:misc_RNA from 1 species
AUUUAGAUUAUGGGGCUUCUCCUAAGCCCUAAGAACCACGAAAUGAUGGUGUUUUGCAAAAUAUAAAUUCCAAAAAGCAUUUUAAGUAGCUUCAAUUUUACAAAAUUUAUUUCACGACAUGGUUUUAAAUAACGGCUGUUAUAUAAUAAAUAACGAUCGUUACCAUCGUUACUUAACGGUAAUGGUCAUUACCUCAAUAAUUCAACAAAUAAAAAGCACAUGCAAA